AGCGGGAGAGUAACAAGCUAAAUGCCCGAACAAAAAUAAACAUUGGCCCGGCGUUCACUCGCUACAAGCCCUUGUAGCCGUCGUCUUGGACAAGAGAUGGUUGAAGGAUGUAAAGACGUUCAUCACCUCCAGGACUACAUCAGAUCUGGAAAACUUCCAGAAUCACAUCCUCAUGCAGGGAAGGUUCUCCUACACUCCAGCAGUGAAUCAUCAGGGAAGGUUCUCCUACUCCAGCAGUGAAUCAUCAGG